GAGUUUGAUCUUGGCUCAGAUUGAACGCUGGCGGCAUGGCUAAAACAUGCAAGUCGAACGCGAAAGCACUUCGGUGCAAGUAGAGUGGCGAAAGGGCGAGGAAUACGUACCUAACGUGCCUUCAGGUAAGGGAUAGCUCAUGGAAACGUGUGGUAAUACCUUAUAAUCUCGAUCCUUCGUAUGUAGGAUUGAGCAAAGGCUUGCUGCCUGAAGAUCGGGAUACGUCCUAUCAGCUUGUUGGUGAGGUAACGGCUCACCAAGGCGAAGACGGGUAGCGGGUGUGAGAGCAUGACCCGCCGCAUCGGGACUGAGACACUGCCCGGACUCCUACGGGAGGCUGCAGUAACGAAUAUUCCGCAAUGCGCGAAAGCGUGACGGAGCAAUGCCGCGUGUGGGAUGAAGCAUCUAGGUGUGUAAACCACUGUCAGGGUUUAGGAAUUUUGACCAGACCCAAAGGAAGAGCCGGCUAACUCUGUGCCAGCGGCCGCGGUAAUACAGAGGGCUCGAGCGUUAAUCGGAAUCACUGGGCUUAAAGGGUCCGCAGGCGGAUUGGUAAGUAUCUUGUGAAAUACCAUGGCUCAACCAUGGAACUGCUCGGUAAACUGCCAAUCUUGAACACGGUAGGGGCCAUCGGAACUCUAGGUGGAGCGGUGAAAUGCGUAGAUAUCUAGAGGAACGCCAGAGGCGAAGGCGGAUGGCUGGGCCGUUGUUGACGCUCAGGGACGAAAGCAUGGGUAGCGAACGGGAUUAGAUACCCCGGUAGUCCAUGCCCUAAACGAUGUGCACUAGGUCGCGGAAGGUUUGACCCUAUCGCGGCUGAAGUUAAAAUAUUAAGUGCACCGCCUGGGGAGUACGGUCGCAAGGCUAAAACUCAAAGGAAUUGACGGGGGCUCACACAAGCGGUGGAGCAUGUGGCUUAAUUCGAAGCAACGCGAAGAACCUUAUCCAGGGCUUGACAUGUAUGGAUUAGUUUCCCGAAAAGGAAAUGACGCUCUCUGAGUGGAACAUACACAGGUGCUGCAUGGCUGUCGUCAGCUCGUGCUGUGAAGUGUCGGGUUAAGUCCCUUAACGAGCGAAACCCCUAUCCUUAGUUGCCAGCGAGUCAUGUCGGGGACUCUAGGGAGACUGCCGGCGUCAAGCCGGAGGAAGGUGGGGAUGACGUCAAGUCCUCAUGGCCUUUAUGCCCUGGGCUGCACACGUGCUACAAUGGUACGGACAGAGCGAAGCAAGACCGCGAGGUGGAGCAAAUCGCACAAACCGUGCCCCAGUUCGGAUUGUAGUCUGCAACUCGACUACAUGAAGUUGGAAUCGCUAGUAAUCGCGCAUCAGCUACGGCGCGGUGAAUAAGUUCCUGAGCCUUGUACACACCGCCCGUCACGUCAUGGGAGCCGGGAGCACCCGAAGUAGUCACGACUCAGUGAUUCCUACGGUGAGCUCGGUGACUGGGACGAAGUCGUAACAAGGUAACCGUA
rnacentral:rRNA from 1 species